AACGAACGCUGGCGGCAUGCCUAACACAUGCAAGUCGAACGAGACCUUCGGGUCUAGUGGCGCACGGGUGCGUAACGCGUGGGAACCUGCCCUUAGGUUCGGAAUAACUCCCCGAAAGGGGUGCUAAUACCGGAUAAUGUCUUCGGACCAAAGAUUUAUCGCCUUUGGAUGGGCCCGCGUUGGAUUAGCUAGUUGAUAGGGUAAAAGCCUACCAAGGCGACGAUCCAUAGCUGGUCUGAGAGGAUGAUCAGCCACACUGGGACUGAGACACGGCCCAGACUCAUACGGGAGGAAGCAGGGGGGAAUAUUGGACAAGGGGCGAAAGCCUGAAGCAACAAUGCCGCGUGAGUGAUGAAGUCCUUAGGGAUGUAAAGCUCGUUAACGCGGGAGGAAAAUGACGGUACCGGGAGAAUAAGCGCCGGCUAACUCCGUG
rnacentral:rRNA from 1 species